UGUUACUAAUAAUUUUUUCUUCCCGCGUAACUUUUAGAGUACUGACUGCAGCGUUUGUUUCUAUCGUCUUGCAGUUGCUAAAUAAGAAUGCAUAUUUAUGGAGGAAAAUAUUUUGAAUCUCAUCCCGUAUAUCAGUGGAACUGCGUGGAUGUACCUCUUCCAGCAUGGUGAAGUGAUCAACGUGGCGGAGAACGGGCUGAUCGUGGAUUUCCAGUGCAGCGAACAGCGCUCACAGUUGGUCAGCCACGACAAAAUCUUCAGCGCAUUCAUCGCCCCGCAUUCCGUUCCGUAUCGCUCGUGGUAUGAUGAAAUUGACGGGAACUCCGCGGUGACGGAGAAUGUCCACGUGCAGGUGUUGUGGCGCUCGCAUCCGGGGGCUCCGUGGCUGUGGUAUCCUGGUCGGCUGCUCAGUCGGGCCCUGUUUUACCCGUGUGCCACCAUCACAUUUCUCAUUGCCGAAGUUCAGCAUGAUGGCUGGUCAGCCGCCGAGCUGUUCCCCGUCAACCAGGUGCGUUUUCCGCCGUCCGAGGAAGAUCUGGCCAAACGAGCGCUGCCGGCGAACGCCUUCGUGUUACGGCAGUCUCGUUUGCGGGAGAAUUAUUGGCCGACCGAUACUUCCUUCAAUCAACACUUUGAGGCGAUCCGGUGUGUGCAUAUUGUAUCUACUCGCAACCACAUGAUAGAGUACCUGCAGCGCUGUGAUGCGCAACCACUGACGGAAGAGAAAUGGGUGCGAUGGAGAAACGAUUACGAUUUGAUCCGCAAAUAUAUCGCAGAGCUCCAGGCAAAGGAAAACGCCCAACCGAAUGGCUCUGGCAUGCCGUCAGUGGGCGCCGGUGUGAAGCGCAAAAACCCCGGCGACGACGCACCGCCUGAAACCGGGCGGGUUAUUCCCACCGAGACGCAUCUGCUGCGCGAGAUCUUCCAGUCACUGGACACCGUCAGCCGUCAGCAACUGCGUCGCGUGUGUCCGCUGUGGAACUCCGUCUUGACCGGCGCCGACAGCGCUCACACGGUCCGGGUCUCCUUCGACAGAUGCAACGCAAUGGUCCCCUCUGCGCAUUCGCGCCCGGACCCGGAGAACUUCCUGCGGGUGUACUUCGCGGUGGGUGGUAUGCUCAGGGCCAUUGCUCCCGCCACGCAACGGCUGAUUAUCGAGGAGGUGUGCAAUGAGCUCCUAUUCCAUGUGGUGAUCGUCAUUCGCUGGUUGUUGCGGCAUCUCCACAUCCGCCAGCUCAUCCUCCACCGGGUGGACCUUAACUGGGAUGAUCGCCUGACCGAGUUUCCCAUUGCGGCGGCGUAUAAGGGGGAGGGGCGGGUGUGUAUCCGGCGUCUGGCGGCGGCCCUGUCAGCACUGGCGCCGUUCUGCGAUGAAGUACGGCUUUGGCAUUGUGCAUUCAGUUGCAGUGGCCGGAUGAAGGCCGUUAUUCCGCAAGCCAGGAUUCGGCUAGAUGCAGCGGAUAUUGCCGGGCAGUUCUAGGAUAUCUAUGAGGCCCAUUUGUCGCGUGAGGGGUUGUGUCGGGAGGCAGUGGCCGAAUGGAUUCGCAGAGGGUCAAGAGGAUUCCGCAAAAUGGUCGCGGAGUUUCUCCAUGGUUACCAGAGUUGUGACCCGCGACUGACGACGCAUUAUCGUGGCAGAGAGUGGACCGAGGAGAAUCUGAACGAUCUGGAUAUCUCCAAGCUGACCACGGUUACGUUGCGAGCUUUGCUAGAAGUCCUUCCCUUAGAAUGGGAAGUUUUCAGGGCCAAGUAUAGUCAGUGUUACGAUGAAGGUGACGGUUAAAAAUCCUGCCAGAUGACGCUGCAAGCCUGCAACGGCCAGUUGGUACACGGCUACACGGCACGAAAACCUGCACCGCUGUGUUUUACUUUUGACUAAGACAGAUUUGUAGUUUUUUUCUGCCAGGGUGCAGAUACUAAAGUGUAACGCUAUACUCGUAGUUGAAGUUUUGGAGUUUUACUAAAUAAAGAGUUUAUUUCUCAUCUGUGCCCGACAGCCGGAUGUGGUUGAAC